rnacentral:lncRNA from 1 species
AUCUGACACCCAAUUGCCUUAACUGGCACUUGGGAUGUCACAUUUAGAUUUCUCAAGAUUUGAUGUUAUUUUAGGAAUGGAUUGGUUAGAGAAAUAUAGAGCAAUCAUUAAUUGGUAAAGUAAAGUUAUGACCUUGUGAUCACCAAAAAUCAAAUAAAAAUCUACUUUGUUAUUUUUUAACCAUUGAAUAAAUAGAAAUAU